UACGUAGGGGGCAAGCGUUGUCCGGAAUCAUUGGGCGUAAAGAGCGUGUAGGCGGUUCGGUAAGUCGGCUGUGAAAGUCCAGGGGCUCAACCCCUGGGAUGCCGGUCGAUACUGCCGGACUAGAGUUCGGAAGAGGCGAGUGGAAUUCCCGGUGUAGCGGUGAAAUGCGCAGAUAUCGGGAGGAACACCUAUGGCGAAGGCAGCUCGCUGGGACGUUACUGACGCUGAGAACGCGAAAGCGUGGGGAGCAAACAGG
rnacentral:rRNA from 1 species